rnacentral:snoRNA from 1 species
GGAACCCCCACAACACUCUGGCCCUUACUGUUCUUUCCCUACGGGGAUUGAUCAUAUCAAAACGUGGUAUAGGCUUAUUUUAAGUGGGGAAGAGAAAACCAGUCCCAUUACUCAUCGCGGUAUCCUUGGAGCUUGUCUUCGUGGGUACAGUGGUCCAUAUUUCGGGUCUACAU